CGGGCGUUAAGUUGCAGGGUAUAGACCCGAAACCCGGUGAUCUAGCCAUGGGCAGGUUGAAGGUUGGGUAACACUAACUGGAGGACCGAACCGACUAAUGUUGAAAAAUUAGCGGAUGACCUGUGGCUGGGGGUGAAAGGCCAAUCAAACCGGGAGAUAGCUGGUUCUCCCCGAAAGCUAUUUAGGUAGCGCCUCGUGAAUUCAUCUCCGGGGGUAGAGCACUGUUUCGGCUAGGGGGCCAUCCCGGCUUACCAACCCGAUGCAAACUGCGAAUACCGGAGAAUGUUAUCACGGGAGACACACGGCGGGUGCUAACGUCCGUCGUGAAGAGGGAAACAACCCAGACCGCCAGCUAAGGUCCCAAAGUCAUGGUUAAGUGGGAAACGAUGUGGGAAGGCCCAGACAGCCAGGAUGUUGGCUUAGAAGCAGCCAUCAUUUAAAGAAAGCGUAAUAGCUCACUGGUCGAGUCGGCCUGCGCGGAAGAUGUAACGGGGCUAAACCAUGCACCGAA
rnacentral:rRNA from 1 species